rnacentral:rRNA from 1 species
AAUAUUGGACAAUGGGGGCAAGCGUGAUCCAGCCAUGCCGCGUGUGUGAAGAAGGCCUUCGGGUUGUAAAGCUCUUUUGUUUGGGAAGAAAUAUUGUGGGUUAAUACUUGGUAAGGAUGACGGUACCGAAAGAAUAAGCACCGGCUAAAUUUGUGCCAGCAGCCGCGGUAAUACGAAGGGGGCAAGCGUUAUUCUGAAUUACUGGGGGUAAAGAGUGCGUAGGGGGUUUUUUAAGUCUGAUGUGAAAACCCCGGGCUCAACCCGGGAAAUGCACUGGAGACUGCCCAGCUAGAGUGUGGGAGAGGAGGGGUGGAAUUCCCGGUGUAGCGGUGAAAUGCGUAGAGAUAUGGAGAAACACCCGUGGGGAAGGCGGCCUCCUGGGUCAACACUGACGCUGAGGCGCGAAAGCGUGGGGAGCAAACAGGAUUAGAUACCCCGGUAGUCCACGCCCUAAACGAUGCGAAAUGGAGGUUGGGGACAGCUUNGCAAUCAGUAUCGUAGCUAACGCGUNAAGUUCGCCGCCCU